rnacentral:rRNA from 1 species
UACGUAGGGACCGAGCGUUGUCCGGAUUCAUUGGGCGUAAAGAGCUCGUAGGCGGCUGCUCAAGUCGAAUGUGAAAACUCGAGGCUCAACCUCGAGCCUGCAUUCGAUACUGGGCGGCUAGAGUCUGGUAGGGGGAUCUGGAAUUCCUGGUGUAGCGGUGGAAUGCGCAGAUAUCAGGAGGAACACCCGUGGCGAAGGCG